rnacentral:lncRNA from 1 species
UGAAGUUUUUCUUAUGGUUAUCAGUGAGAGAUACUGUUUGGAGAUGUUUCAACGAAUGUUGAGCGGAUAAUCGGAGCUUUCCUGUUAUUCAGGGUUCCGAUCUUGUAUCAGUGGGUGUUUUGGGUAAUUUUCCGGCAUCCCUGGUUUUAUUCCAACGAGUUCUUCAAAUUCUAGGGUUUUCCGACUUUCGGACCUAGACUUUUGGUGUUAUCCGAUGACUUUCUCUUCGCUUGAUGGACGUUUUGGGUAACUUUCCGGCGUUUGUGACCUUAUUUCAGUGAGUUUCAGAACCUACGGUUUCCGGUGUUGGACCUAGGGUUUUCUCUGUGAAUUGAAGGCCGAUCUUCUCCGGUCGCGAAGAAGGAGGGUAACUCUGUCCUUAUUUUGAGUAUUGUAUGUGAGUAUCUGGUUCCGUUAUAUUUUGCUUGUCGAAACUGUUUUCCUUUCAAGCUGGUUCAUUGAUCAUGGCUUCUAAUACGAAUGCUGGUACUUUCUCGGUAGACUCUACCAGCCCUCUUUUUGUCUACUCCUCUGAUGUCCCUGGGGUCUCUCUUGUCCCCACUCACUUCUUGGGCAGUGGUUAUGGGGGUUGGAGGAGAAAAAUGAUUGUUGCGUUAUCUGCUAAAAACAAAAUUGAUUUUGUUGAUGGCACGUGCUCCCGGCCAGUCACUAAUGUGGCUCAACAAAGGUUAUGGGACAGGUGCAAUAAUAUGGUGAUUUCCUAGUUAACUGCCUCCCUCUCCCCUCAAAUUGCUGAAAGUGUGCAGUAUUCUGAUACUGCACAGAGUAUAUGUUCCCAGCUUCAGGUCAGAUAUGGCACUGCCAACAGGACCAAAAUUUUUGAAUUAAAAAGAGAGCUUUCUCACACCUCUCAAGGGUCCCUAGAUGUAUGAUAUGGCACUGCAAACAGGACCAAAAAUUUUGAAUUGAAAAGAGAGCUUUCUCACACCUCUCAAGGGUCCCUAGAUGUCGCUUCAUAUUUUAAUAAACUCAAAGGUCUGUGGGAUGAAUUAGAAUCAAUGUGUGCCAAUCAUGGCCAAAGAUGUGUUUGUGCUGCCAAAGAUGGUAUAAUACAGGAAAACGAUGAAAAUAAGGUAUUUCAGUUUCUAAUGGGCCUUAAUGAAGCAUACAUGGGGGUAAGGAGUAACAUUUUGAUGAUGCAGCCACUUCCAACCCUUGACAGUGUCUAUAAUAUGGUCCUCAAUAAUGAGAAGCAAAGACAAGUCCAGUCUCCUUCUCACUUUAAUCCAGACUCUGUGUCUUUCAAUG